rnacentral:lncRNA from 1 species
UUCAAACCUCUCUCGCAUUCUCUGUAAGUCAGGCUUAAAAGGGCUUUCUGUCCGCGAAGGCACACUUAGCACCAUUCUCGCGCUAAGCACGAGUAAGUGAGAUUUGGCUUAGCGCCAAUCUCGCUCUUAGCACAGAAGAGACAAUUGUCUCGCUUAGCGAGCUGCAUACGCGCUGGGUGCAUGCUGGCAUGGAUGAACUCUCUUCAAGCUUAUCCUUAAUCGCUAAGCCACUGUUGUCUCGCUUAGCGGUUUGGUCUCGUUAAGCGCAUGGUUCAGGCUUAGCGAGACAA